rnacentral:rRNA from 1 species
GACAGAGGGUGCAAACGUUGUUUGGAAUUACUGGGCGUAAAGCGCGUGUAGGCGGCCCUGUAAGUCGGGUGUGAAAUCCCACGGCUCAACCGUGGAAGUGCAUUCGAAACUACAGGGCUAGAGUUCUGGAGAGGAAGGUGGAAUGCUUGGUGUAGAGGUGAAAUUCGUAGAUAUCAAGCGGAACACCGGUGGCGAAGGCGGCCUUCUGGACAGUAACUGACGCUGAGACGCGAAAGCGUGGGGAGCAAACAGG